GGUAAAAUGGGGGGCAUCUGAUGCAGCCACGCCGCGUGAGUGAGAAGCCUUCGGGUUGUAAAGCUCUUUUUACCGGGAGGAAAAAAAGGGGGUUUUUACCCUUCUGACUGGACCCUACCAAUACAAAACGCCCAACUCUAAAACAUCCGCCCCGCCACUAUAAUAAGCAGCUGUGCGUUCGGAAAUUGCGGGGAAACUCCUAAAGCCGAUUCUACCGCGGUCAUUGGGAAAGGGGGGGGGGGGCAGAUGAGGUGAUGGUCAUCGGAGGGUAAGAGCGAAGAGGAGGAGAUGCCUACGUGAUGAUGGUGGAGAUGCG
rnacentral:rRNA from 1 species